UACUUGGGUGGCGACCGGCGCACGGGUGAGUAACACGUAUCCAACCUGCCGAUAACUCGGGGAUAGCCUUUCGAAAGAAAGAUUAAUACCCGAUGGUAUAAUCAGACCGCAUGGUCUUGUUAUUAAAGAAUUUCGGUUAUCGAUGGGGAUGCGUUCCAUUAGGCAGUUGGUGAGGUAACGGCUCACCAAACCUUCGAUGGAUAGGGGUUCUGAGAGGAAGGUCCCCCACAUUGGAACUGAGACACGGUCCAA
rnacentral:rRNA from 1 species